rnacentral:piRNA from 1 species
UGGCUAAAGAAACUCCCUUUUAUGCUAGGC